UACAGAGGUCUUAAGCGUUGUUCGGAUUCAUUGGGCGUAAAGGGUGCGUAGGUGGCGUCGUAAGUCGGGUGUGAAGUUUCGGAGCUUAACUCCGAAACUGCAUUCGAUACUGCGGUGCUUGAGGACUGGAGAGGAGACUGGAAUUUACGGUGUAGCAGUGAAAUGCGUAGAGAUCGUAAGGAAGACCAGUGGCGAAGGCGGGUCUCUGGACAGUUCCUGACACUGAGGCACGAAGGCCAGGGGAGCAAACGGG
rnacentral:rRNA from 1 species